rnacentral:rRNA from 1 species
GACGAACGCUGGCGGCGUGCCUAAUACAUGCAAGUCGAACGCAGUGGGGACGGGUGAGUAACACGUGGGUAACCUCCCAUCAGAGGGGAUAACACUUGGAAACAGGUGCUAAACCGAUACUGAUGGAUGGACCCGCGGUGCAUUAGCUAGUUGGUGAGGUAACGGCUCACCAAGGCCACGAUGCAUAGCCGACCGAAGAGGGUGACGGGCCAAAUGGGAACGAAGACACGGCCCAGAUUCCUACGGAGGGCAGCAGGGGGAAAUUUUCGGCAAUGGACGAAAGGCGGACCGAGAAAGGCCGCGUGAGUGAAGAGGGUUUUCGGAUCGUAAGACUCUGUUGUUGGAGAAGCGGUAUCUAACCAGAAAGCCACGGCUAACUACGUGCCAGCAGCCGCGGUAAUAC